GGUUAAGCGACUAAGCGUACACGGUGGAUGCCCUGGCAGUCAGAGGCGAUGAAGGACGUGCUAAUCUGCGAUAAGCGUCGGUAAGGUGAUAUGAACCGUUAUAACCGGCGAUUUCCGAAUGGGGAAACCCAGUGUGAUUCGUCACACUAUCAUUAACUGAAUCCAUAGGUUAAUGAGGCGAACCGGGGGAACUGAAACAUCUAAGUACCCCGAGGAAAAGAAAUCAACCGAGAUUCCCCCAGUAGCGGCGAGCGAACGGGGAGGAGCCCAGAGCCUGAAUCAGUGUGUGUGUUAGUGGAAGCGUCUGGAAAGGCGCGCGAUACAGGGUGACAGCCCCGUACACAAAAAUGCACAUGCUGUGAGCUCGAUGAGUAGGGCGGGACACGUGGUAUCCUGUCUGAAUAUGGGGGGACCAUCCUCCAAGGCUAAAUACUCCUGACUGACCGAUAGUGAACCAGUACCGUGAGGGAAAGGCGAAAAGAACCCCGGCGAGGGGAGUGAAAAAGAACCUGAAACCGUGUACGUACAAGCAGUGGGAGCACGCUUAGGCGUGUGACUGCGUACCUUUUGUAUAAUGGGUCAGCGACUUAUAUUCUGUAGCAAGGUUAACCGAAUAGGGGAGCCGAAGGGAAACCGAGUCUUAACUGGGCGUUAAGUUGCAGGGUAUAGACCCGAAACCCGGUGAUCUAGCCAUGGGCAGGUUGAAGGUUGGGUAACACUAACUGGAGGACCGAACCGACUAAUGUUGAAAAAUUAGCGGAUGACUUGUGGCUGGGGGUGAAAGGCCAAUCAAACCGGGAGAUAGCUGGUUCUCCCCGAAAGCUAUUUAGGUAGCGCCUCGUGAAUUCAUCUCCGGGGGUAGAGCACUGUUUCGGCAAGGGGGUCAUCCCGACUUACCAACCCGAUGCAAACUGCGAAUACCGGAGAAUGUUAUCACGGGAGACACACGGCGGGUGCUAACGUCCGUCGUGAAGAGGGAAACAACCCAGACCGCCAGCUAAGGUCCCAAAGUCAUGGUUAAGUGGGAAACGAUGUGGGAAGGCCCAGACAGCCAGGAUGUUGGCUUAGAAGCAGCCAUCAUUUAAAGAAAGCGUAAUAGCUCACUGGUCGAGUCGGCCUGCGCGGAAGAUGUAACGGGGCUAAACCAUGCACCGAAGCUGCGGCAGCGACACUAUGUGUUGUUGGGUAGGGGAGCGUUCUGUAAGCCUGUGAAGGUGUGCUGUGAGGCAUGCUGGAGGUAUCAGAAGUGCGAAUGCUGACAUAAGUAACGAUAAAGCGGGUGAAAAGCCCGCUCGCCGGAAGACCAAGGGUUCCUGUCCAACGUUAAUCGGGGCAGGGUGAGUCGACCCCUAAGGCGAGGCCGAAAGGCGUAGUCGAUGGGAAACAGGUUAAUAUUCCUGUACUUGGUGUUACUGCGAAGGGGGGACGGAGAAGGCUAUGUUGGCCGGGCGACGGUUGUCCCGGUUUAAGCGUGUAGGCUGGUUUUCCAGGCAAAUCCGGAAAAUCAAGGCUGAGGCGUGAUGACGAGGCACUACGGUGCUGAAGCAACAAAUGCCCUGCUUCCAGGAAAAGCCUCUAAGCAUCAGGUAACAUCAAAUCGUACCCCAAACCGACACAGGUGGUCAGGUAGAGAAUACCAAGGCGCUUGAGAGAACUCGGGUGAAGGAACUAGGCAAAAUGGUGCCGUAACUUCGGGAGAAGG
rnacentral:rRNA from 1 species